CCUACGGGGGGCUGCAGUGGGGAAUAUUGCACAAUGGGCGCAAGCCUGAUGCAGCCAUGCCGCGUGUGUGAAGAAGGCCUUCGGGUUGUAAAGCACUUUCAGCGGGGAGGAAGGCGGUGAGGUUAAUAACCUCAUCGAUUGACGUUACCCGCAGAAGAAGCACCGGCUAACUCCGUGCCAGCAGCCGCGGUAAUACGGAGGGUGCAAGCGCUAAUCGGAAUUACUGGGCGUAAAGCGCACGCAGGCGGUCUGUCAAGUCGGAUGUGAAAUCCCCGGGCUCAACCUGGGAACUGCAUUCGAAACUGGCAGGCUAGAGUCUUGUAGAGGGGGGUAGAAUUCCAGGUGUAGCGGUGAAAUGCGUAGAGAUCUGGAGGAAUACCGGUGGCGAAGGCGGCCCCCUGGACAAAGACUGACGCUCAGGUGCGAAAGCGUGGGGAGCAAACAGGAUUAGAUACCCGAGUAGUC
rnacentral:rRNA from 1 species